rnacentral:rRNA from 1 species
GUUGUAUAGUCAAGUAAUUAAGUGCAUGUGGUGGAUGCCUUGGCAGUCAGAGGCGAUGAAAGACGUGAUAGCCUGCGAAAAGCUCCGGGGAGGCGGCAAAUAUCCUUUGAUCCGGAGAUGUCUGAAUGGGGGAACCCACCUACUUUAAGGUAGGUAUUGCAACAUGAAUACAUAGUGUUGCAAGGCGAACGAGGGGAAGUGAAACAUCUCAGUACCCUUAGGAAAAGAAAUCAAUUGAGAUUCCCUCAGUAGCGGCGAGCGAACGGGGAUCAGCCCAUUAAGUUAUGUGUGUUUUAGUGGAACGCUCUGGGAAGUGCGAACGUAGAGGGUGAUAUUCCCGUACACGAAAGGGCACACAUAAUGAUGACGAGUAGGGCGAGGCACGUGAAACCUUGUCUGAAUAUGGGGGGACCAUCCUCCAAGGCUAAAUACUCCUGACUGACCGAUAGUGAACCAGUACCGUGAGGGAAAGGCGAAAAGAACCCCUGUGAGGGGAGUGAAAUAGAUCCUGAAACCGCAUGCAUACAAGCAGUGGGAGCACCUUCGUGGUGUGACUGCGUACCUUUUGUAUAAUGGGUCAGCGACUUAUAUUCAGUAGCGAGGUUAACCGUAUAGGGGAGCCGUAGAGAAAUCGAGUCUUAAUAGGGCGUUUAGUUGCUGGGUAUAGACCCGAAACCAGGCGAUCUAUCCAUGAGCAGGUUGAAGGUUGGGUAACACUAACUGGAGGACCGAACCCACUGUCGUUGAAAAGCCAGGGGAUGACUUGUGGAUAGGGGUGAAAGGCUAAUCAAGCCUGGUGAUAGCUGGUUCUCCCCGAAAGCUAUUUAGGUAGUGCCUCGGACGAAUACCAUAGGGGGUAGAGCACUGUUUCGGCUAGGGGGUCAUCCCGACUUACCAAACCGAUGCAAACUCCGAAUACCUAUGAGUACUAUCCGGGAGACAGACUGCGGGUGCUAACGUCCGUAGUCAAGAGGAAAACAAUCCAGACCGCCAGCUAAGGCCCCAAAAUCAUAGUUAAGUGGGAAACGAUGUGGGAAGGCAUAGACAGCUAGGAGGUUGGCUUAGAAGCAGCCACCCUUUAAAGAAAGCGUAAUAGCUCACUAGUCGAGUCGGCCUGCGCGGAAGAUGUAACGGGGCUAAAACUAUGUGCCGAAGCUGCGGAUGUAUACUUUGUAUACGUGGUAGGGGAGCGUUCUGUAAGCCGAUGAAGGUGUGUUGAGAAGCAUGCUGGAGGUAUCAGAAGUGCGAAUGCUGACGUGAGUAACGACAAAACGGGUGAAAAACCCGUUCGCCGAAAGACCAAGGGUUCCAGUCCAACGUUAAUCGGGGCUGGGUGAGUCGACCCCUAAGGCGAGGCCGAAAGGCGUAGUCGAUGGGAAAAUGGUUAAUAUUCCAUUACUUCUGUGUAAUGCGAUGAGAGGACGGAGAAGGCUAAAUCAGCCUGGCGUUGGUUGUCCAGGUGAAAGGAUGUAGGCAUGUAUCUUAGGCAAAUCCGGGGUACUCUAUGCUGAGAUCUGAUAGCAAGCUGUACUUGUACAGCGAAGUGGUUGAUGCCAUGCUUCCAGGAAAAGUCUCUAAGCUUCAGUUACACAGGAAUCGUACCCGAAACCGACACAGGUGGUCAGGUCGAGUAGACCAAGGCGCUUGAGAGAACUCUGCUGAAGGAACUAGGCAAAAUGGUACCGUAACUUCGGGAGAAGGUACGCUGUUGUUGGUGAUGGAACUCGCUUCCUGAGCUGACGACAGCCGCAGAAACCAGGCCGCUGCAACUGUUUAUUAAAAACAUAGCACUCUGCAAACACGAAAGUGGACGUAUAGGGUGUGAUGCCUGCCCGGUGCUGGAAGGUUAAUUGAUGGGGUUAGCGUAAGCGAAGCUCUUGAUCGAAGCCCCAGUAAACGGCGGCCGUAACUAUAACGGUCCUAAGGUAGCGAAAUUCCUUGUCGGGUAAGUUCCGACCUGCACGAAUGGCAUAAUGAUGGCGGCGCUGUCUCCAGCAGAGGCUCAGUGAAAUCGAAAUCGCUGUGAAGAUGCAGUGUACCCGCGGCUAGACGGAAAGACCCCGUGAACCUUUACUGCAGCUUGACACUGAACUUUGACCUUACUUGUGUAGGAUAGGUGGGAGGCUUUGAAGCUGGAACGCUAGUUCCAGUGGAGCCGUCCUUGAAAUACCACCCUGGUAAUGUUGAGGUUCUAACUCUGUCCCGUGAUCCGGGACGAGGACCGUGUCUGGUGGGUAGUUUGACUGGGGCGGUCUCCUCCUAAAGAGUAACGGAGGAGUACGAAGGUGCGCUCAGCGUGGUCGGAAAUCACGCGUAGAGUAUAAAGGCAAAAGCGCGCUUAACUGCGAGACCCACAAGUCGAGCAGGUACGAAAGUAGGUCUUAGUGAUCCGGUGGUUCUGUAUGGAAGGGCCAUCGCUCAACGGAUAAAAGGUACUCUGGGGAUAACAGGCUGAUACCGCCCAAGAGUUCAUAUCGACGGCGGUGUUUGGCACCUCGAUGUCGGCUCAUCUCAUCCUGGGGCUGAAGCAGGUCCCAAGGGUAUGGCUGUUCGCCAUUUAAAGAGGUACGCGAGCUGGGUUUAGAACGUCGUGAGACAGUUCGGUCCCUAUCUACCGUGGGCGCUGGAAAUUUGAGAGGAUCUGCUCCUAGUACGAGAGGACCAGAGUGGACGAACCUCUGGUGUACCGGUUGUGACGCCAGUCGCAUCGCCGGGUAGCUAUGUUCGGAAGGGAUAACCGCUGAAAGCAUCUAAGCGGGAAGCCUACCUCAAGAUAAGAUUUCCCUAGGACUUUAUGUCCUCUAAAGAGCCGUUCGAGACUAGGACGUUGAUAGGUUGGAUGUGGAAGCAUAGUGAUAUGUGAAGCUGACCAAUACUAAUUGCUCGUGAGGCUUGACUAUACAACACCCAAGCAGUUG